GAAGAGGAGGAGGAGGUGGAAACAGGAAGUGGUGGAGUUGGUGCAUGAUGUGGACUUUCAGUGACUUGGUCAUGAGGUGAGCCCAUGUGUGAAGCCUGCCACCCCCUGGCUUCUAUUGGGAGAAAAUCGGUCACAGUCGGCUGCAGGAGGACCGCCCUAGAACUGCCCCAAAACACAUCAACGCCUUAUGACUCAGAAAUGACAAAGGAAGGCAGCCAAAGUGAAGCAGAAUCUGUUUGAGCAUGUGCAGCGUGUGG